rnacentral:tRNA from 2 species
GGGCCCGUAGCUCAGCUAGGUAGAGCGGCGGGCUUUUAACCCGUAGGCCCCGGGUUCGAAUCCCGGCGGGCCCGCUA